rnacentral:rRNA from 1 species
AGAGUUUGAUCAUGGCUCAGAACGAACGCUGGCGGCGUGGAUUAGGCAUGCAAGUCGAGCGACGCAGGCGGGCUUCGGCCUGCCUGACGGAGCGGCGAAAGGGUGAGCAAUAAAUAGAUAACCUGCCCACGAGACCGGGACAACGGCGGGAAACUGCUGCUAAUACCGGAUAGUCAGCAGGUGUCACAUGACGCCUGCUGUAAUGGAUAGCCUCUGGCUCAAGCCUUCGCUCGUGGAGGGAUCUAUUUCCUAUCAGCUUGUUGGUGAGGUAACGGCUCACCAAGGCUAUGACGGGUACCCGGCCUUAGCGGGCGGUCGGGCACACUGGGACUGAGACACUGCCCAGACUCCUACGGGAGGCUGCAGUCGAGAAUCUUGCACAAUGCGCGAAAGCGUGAUGCAGCGACGCCGCGUGCGGGAUGAAGGCCUUCGGGUUGUAAACCGCUGUUGGGGGGUAUGAAAUGCGUAGGGUUAAUAGCCCGUGCGCUUGACGUCAACCCCUGAGGAAGUCACGGCUAACUUCGUGCCAGCAGCCGCGGUAAGACGAAGGUGGCAAGCGUUGUUCGGAGUCACUGGGCUUAAAGCGCGCGUAGGCGGCUCGGUAAGCGGAAGUUGAAAGCCCUCGGCUCAACCGAGGAACUGGCUUCCGAACUGCCCUGCUUGAGUGCAGAAGGGGAGAGUGGAAUUCCUGGUGGAGCGGUGAAAUGCGUAGAUAUCAGGAGGAACGCCAGCGGCGAAAGCGGCUCUCUGGUCUGUUACUGACGCUGAGGUGCGAAAGCUGGGGGAGCAAACAGGAUUAGAUACCCUGGUAGUCCCAGCCGUAAACGAUGGGCACUUGGUGGGGGAAUACCGACAAUCUCCCUGCUGGAGCAAAAGUGUUAAGUGCCCCGCCUGGGGAGUACGGUCGCAAGGCUGAAACUCAAAUGAAUUGACGG